AUGCCCACCCCGCCUCAUAUUGUGCCAGAAUGGUAUUUCCUACCGAUCCAUGCCAUUCUUCGUAGUAUACCUGACAAAGCGGGAGGUGUAGCCGCAAUAGCACCAGUUUUUAUAUCUCUCUUGGCUUUACCUUUUUUUAAAGAAAUGUAUGUGCGUAGUUCAAGUUUUCGACUGAUUCACCAAGGAAUAUUUUGGUUGCUUUUGGCGGAUUGCUUACUACUAGGUUGGAUCAGAUGUCAACCUGUGGAGGCACCAUUUGUUACUAUUGGACAAAUUCCUUCUGUCUUUUUCUUCUUGUUCUUUGCCAUAACGCCCAUUCUGGGACGAGUUGGAAGAGGAAUUCCAAAAUAUUACAUGGAUGAGACUCAUCGCACCGGAUUCUUAGACGGAUGA
rnacentral:rRNA from 1 species